rnacentral:lncRNA from 1 species
UACUGGGUUUAAUGAAUUUUGAAAACGUAGGAGAACAACACUUAAUAAACUAAUAUACUCCAGAUCUCUAUUAUAUCCUAUUCAUGAUCAAUAUGCUAAUUAGAACCUUUCUAAAGCUAAGUAUUAUAUCUAUACAUGAAAUUGAAAGAAGGGGAAAUGAGAAUCUAACAAACAGCAUCAGAUUUCAUCACAUUUUCCAUAUCCAAACUUCAAAUUACACUUAAGUGAUAUCCAUAGUGCUGACAAUACUUAGAAAUAAGAAGGAAAUCAAGAGAAGUGCAGAAUCAGUAGGUAGUAAGCAGCAAAACAACAAUGAAAUGGUGUUGAAAUCAGCCCAAACCCAAGGAAUUCAAACUGAAACAACAAACUAGACAGUAUUCCACACAAACAAGCUCAAACCAAACUUUCAAACCCCAAAAAUCAAACCAUUUCUUCAUCCAGGUGCAAGAAUUUGAAGUUUCAAAAAUUCUGACCAAAGGAGGAUCAACAUAUUAAAACUGAAAAGAAUUUCAAGUAGUUUUUCAACCAAGAAAUGCAGAAAAAUUCAGUGUUCUUUUCCUAUUCAGCAGCUCGAUUUUUUAAGAGUUUUUUU